rnacentral:rRNA from 1 species
UACGGGGGGGGCAAGCGUUGUUCGGAAUUACUGGGCGUAAAGGGCUCGUAGGUGGCCAACUAAGUCGGACGUGAAAUCCCUCGGCUUAACCGGGGAACUGCGUCCGAUACUGGUUGGCUUGAGUUUGGGAGAGGGAUGCGGAAUUCCAGGUGUAGCGGUGAAAUGCGUAGAUAUUCGGAGGAACACCAGAAGCGAAGGCGGCCAACUGGCCCGAUACUGACGCUGAGGCGCGAAAGCGUGGGGAGCAAACAGG